CGUACAUAGAGAAGUAAGGGCCCUAUAGCAAGAAUCAAACCAGCCCCCCCACAGGACAGAAGGGUUUCUGCCCAAACCCCUUUCAAUGACCUUUGGACCAUGUUUUCCACUGCCUUAUUUGCUAAAAGUAGUUCCUUUAGAGAGUAGAGUCCUGACCAAGUUUUCACCCCCAGUAACCUAUACAGC